UAUAGGAAAUGGAUAUUUGUGCACAUAUAUGCAUACAUACAUAUAAACAAAGCACUAUUAGUAGGCCUCAAAAACAGUGUUGUGUGAAUACAGUGAGCAUAUUCUAAGAAGUGGAUGGCUGUCUAUAAAUAAAUGACUUAUGCAUUCUAUUUCUCUCACUCCUGCACUUACCAAGAUGAAGGGGUUUUCCCAGCUUUCACUUGAGUACACUCUUGGAAAUGAGAUUCUCUUCCUUUGAUUAUUUCAGGUUGACAAAUUUAUACCAAAAUAGUGGGUUUUUAUAAUCAAUAUCUUUAGGAUUGAUUUUCCUAAAUAUUAUUUUUUAAAAUAUUGAAUUGUAUCCCUUGUUUGUCUUUUAUUUUCCACAAGCAGAUGAAACUUCCUCACAAGCCGAUGGAAGAACCUGUGCGUGUCACUUCAGGGAAGUUACAUAGCAGGGUGGAAGUAGAAUGAACCUACACAUUUUGAAAACAUUUUUUUACUUUGGUCCUUGGAGGACCUAAGGGGCUUGUAAAGAAGAAGAAGGGGGUAGACUGUGAGUCUGCAGCUAAAAGGAGGAGAGAGAUGACCCAGCAACCUAGAGAAGCAGGAAGAAAGUGUUUAUUCUACCUUCCUCUCCUCCCCAGAAUUCUGCAGUGUCUGGAGAAGAGCAGAGUGGUCUCCAGUCCCCAGGAGAGGCCUGGGCCAGACCCUGCUGAAUGCAGAGAGUUAUCUGCAGGGACUAUUUAUUCGUUUCCUGGUGCUCUAGGACACAGCAGAGAGAGCUGACUGGAUGUUCCGGGAUGAAUGGAGAUGCUAAAAGCCUAUGGAACUGGGUAAUAUCAGCAGAGAUUCCAAAUCCCUGAGCCCCCACUGAGUGAGGUUCCUCUGGUGAACUGGGAAGAUGCAGCUGUGCUGAGAAAGCUUCACCUGCUCCUUUGUAGUUCAGUCAGCCAUGAAAGACACCCUUGAAUGCAACCACCUAAGAGCACCUAUGCUGAUUGACAGGUUCUGGCGAUGUGGACAGCUUUUAAGUCAGAGGAUGAUGGCCUUUGGACUGGCCCUGCUUCAAAGGGAUGGCUGAGUGUUUACCAUCUGCAAAGGGGUCAUGCAAUGUGGCUUUUUGGCUCCAUUCCAGUAGGUGGCAGCAUUGCCCAAUGACCAGGAGUGUAAAAGUACGUGCAUCUGUGUGGGGGGGUGUGUGUGUGUUUGUGUGAGAUUUUUGGGUUAUGUUUAGUUUAUUCGUGUGU